rnacentral:rRNA from 1 species
AGGGAAAGGCGAAAAGAACCCCGGCGAGGGGAGUGAAAAAGAACCUGAAACCGUGUACGUACAAGCAGUGGGAGCCCCACCACUAAGCCAGUGGUGAACUCCACAUACGCAUCCUUUGCUGAAGGCAAUGGUUAACGGAGCGAAAGCGACGUUCAACCGCAAAACAAGCAGAGGGGGCUUAGUGGUGGGGUGACUGCGUACCUUUUGUAUAAUGGGUCAGCGACUUAUAUUCUGUAGCAAGGUUAACCGUAUAGGGGAGCCGGAGGGAAACCGAGUCUUAAUUGGGCGUUAAGUUGCAGGGUAUAGACCCGAAACCCGGUGAUCUAGCCAUGGGCAGGUUGAAGGUUGGGUAACACUAACUGGAGGACCGAACCGACUAAUGUUGAAAAAUUAGCGGAUGACCUGUGGCUGGGGGUGAAAGGCCAAUCAAACCGGGAGAUAGCUGGUUCUCCCCGAAAGCUAUUUAGGUAGCGCCUCGUGAAUUCAUCUCCGGGGGUAGAGCACUGUUUCGGCUAGGGGGCCAUCCCGGCUUACCAACCCGAUGCAAACUGCGAAUACCGGAGAAUGUUAUCACGGGAGACACACGGCGGGUGCUAACGUCCGUCGUGAAGAGGGAAACAACCCAGACCGCCAGCUAAGGUCCCAAAGUCAUGGUUAAGUGGGAAACGAUGUGGGAAGGCCCAGACAGCCAGGAUGUUGGCUUAGAAGCAGCCAUCAUUUAAAGAAAGCGUAAUAGCUCACUGGUCGAGUCGGCCUGCGCGGAAGAUGUAACGGGGCUAAACCAU